UACGGAGGGUGCAAGCGUUGUUCGGAUUUACUGGGCGUAAAGCGCGCGCAGGUGGAUGAGCAAGUCGGAAGUGAAAUCUUGAGGCUCAACCUCGAGGCUGCUCCCGAAACUGUUCGUCUAGGGACUGGUAGAGGCCGGUGGAAUUCCCGGUGUAGUGGUGAAAUGCGUAGAGAUCGGGAGGAACACCGAUGGCGAAGGCAGAUCUCUGGGCCGUAACUGACGCUGAGGAGCGAAAGCGUGGGGAGCGAACAGG
rnacentral:rRNA from 1 species